AUUGAACGCUGGCGGCAGGCCUAACACAUGCAAGUCGAACGAGUGGCGGACGGGUGAGUAAUGUCUGGGAACGUGCCUGGGAGGGGGGUAUAACUACUAGAAAGGGUAGAUAAUACCGCAUACUAUCAGAUGUGCCCAUAUGGGAUUAGCUUGUUGGUGGGGUAAAGGCUCACCAAGGCGACGCUCCCUAGCUGGUCUGAGAGGAUGACCAGCCACACUGGAACGGAGACACGGCCCAGACCCCUACGGGAGGCAGCAGUGGGGAAUAUUGAACAAUGUGCGCAAGCCUGAUGCAGCCAUGCCGCGUGUAUGAAGAAGGCCUUCGGGUUGUAAAGUACUUUCAGCGGGGAGGCGUUACCCGCAGAAUAAGCACCGGCUAACUCCGUGCCAGCAGCCGCGGUAAUUC
rnacentral:rRNA from 1 species